rnacentral:rRNA from 1 species
CCUACGGGAGGCAGCAGUGAGGAAUAUUGGUCAAUGGACGAGAGUCUGAACCAGCCAAGUCGCGUGAAGGAUGACUGCCCUAUGGGUUGUAAACUUCUUUUAUAUGGGAAUAAAAUGUUCCACGUGUGGGAUUUUGUAUGUACCAUAUGAAUAAGGAUCGGCUAACUCCGUGCCAGCCGCCGCGGUAAUACGGAGGAUCCGAGCGUUAUCCGGAUUUUAUGGGUUUAAAGGGCGCGUAGGUGGAUUGUUAAGUCAGUUGUGAAAGUUUGCGGCUCAACCGUAAAAUUGCAGUUGAAACUGGCAGUCGUGAGGAGAGGAGAGGUGGGCGGAAUGCGUGGUGUAGCGGUGAAAUGCGUAGAUAUCACGAAGAACUCCGAUUGCGAAGGCAGCUCACUGGACUACAACUGACACUGAGGCUCGAAAGUGUGGGUAUCAAACAGGAUUAGAUACCCCAGUAGUC